GUGCCUACGGGGCGCAGCAGUAGGGAAUCUUCCACAAUGGGCGAAAGCCUGAUGGAGCAACGCCGCGUGGGUGAAGAAGGUCUUCGGAUCGUAAAACCCUGUUGUUAGAGAAGAAAGUGCGUGAGAGUAACUGUUCACGUUUCGACGGUAUCUAACCAGAAAGCCACGGCUAACUACGUGCCAGCAGCCGCGGUAAUACGUAGGUGGCGAGCGUUAUCCGGAUUUAUUGGGUUUAAAGGGUGCGUAGGCGGAGUGUCAAGUCAGCGGUAAAAUUUCGGGGCUCAACCCCGUCGUGCCGUUGAAAC
rnacentral:rRNA from 1 species